AAAUCUCUUGAGCCAUAAAAAAUUUCUUCUUGCUCAAAAUAAUUUUUGUUUUCCUUAAAAUUUUCUUGGCGCAAGAAACUUGUUUUUUGUGUGUA